rnacentral:rRNA from 1 species
CUGGAACAGGUCCCCCGCUUGCGGUCGGUUUACAGGUGGUGCAUGGUUGUCGUCAGCUCGUGUCGUGAGAUGUUGGGUUAAGUCCCGCAACGAGCGCAACCCUCGUUCUAUGUUGCCAGCGCGUGAUGGCGGGGACUCAUAGGAGACUGCCGGGGUCAACUCGGAGGAAGGUGGGGACGACGUCAAAUCAUCAUGCCCCUUAUGUCUUGGGCUUCACGCAUGCUACAAUGGCCGGUACAAAGGGUUGCGAUACUGUGAGGUGGAGCUAAUCCCAAAAAGCCGGUCUCAGUUCGGAUUGGGGUCUGCAACUCGACCCCAUGAAGUCGGAGUCGCUAGUAAUCGCAGAUCAGCAACGCUGCGGUGAAUACGUUCCCGGGCCUUGUACACACCGCCCGUCAAGUCACGAAAGUUGGUAACACCCGAAGCCGGUGGCCUAACCCCUUGUGGGAGGGAGCUGUCGAAGGUGGGACUGGCGAUUGGGACUAAGUCGUAACAAAGUAACCGUAACAUCGAAUU